AUGGUCUUAGCUUGCUAAGGCCGAUGGCGACCGGCGCACGGGUGAGUAACACGUAUCCAACCUGCCGUCUACUCUUGGACAGCCUUCUGAAAGGAAGAUUAAUACAAGAUGGCAUCAUGAGUCCGCAUGUUCACAUGAUUAAAGGUAUUCCGGUAGACGAUGGGGAUGCGUUCCAUUAGGCAGUUGGCGGGGUAACGGCCCACCUAGCCAACGAUGGAUAGGGGUUCUGAGAGGAAGGUCCCCACAUUGGAACUGAGACACGGUCCAAACUCC
rnacentral:rRNA from 1 species